rnacentral:tRNA from 6 species
CGAGGGAUGCCCGAGUGGCUAAAGGGGGCGGACUGUAAAUCCGUUAGCUGAGCUUACGAUGGUUCGAAUCCAUCUCCCUCGACCA